rnacentral:rRNA from 1 species
GAAAGUAAGCAAGGGCAGACGGUGGAUGCCUUGGCUCUCGGAGGCGACGAAGGACGUGAUAAGCUGCGAAAAGCCCGGGGGAGGCGCAAAUAGCCCUUGAUCCCGGGAUAUCCGAAUGGGGCAACCCGGCAGGCUGAAGGCCUGUCAUCCCGUAAGGGAGGCGAACGUGGGGAACUGAAACAUCUAAGUACCCAUAGGAGGAGAAAAUAAACAAUGAUUCCGUAAGUAGUGGCGAGCGAACACGGAAGAGCCCAAACCCAUGUCGUCUAGGCGACACGGGGGUUGUAGGACCACGACGUGGCAAGAUAGAGUCAAGUGGAACGCCUUGGAAAAGGCGGUCAUAGAGGGUGAAAACCCCGUACACGACUGACGAUUGAAGCCUAGUGGCAUCCUGAGUAGCGCGGGGCACGAGAAAUCUUGCGUGAAACAGCGGGGCCCAUCCCGUAAGGCUAAAUACUCCCGAGAGACCGAUAGCGAACCAGUACCGUGAGGGAAAGGUGAAAAGAACCCCGAGCAGGGGAGUGAAAUAGACCCUGAACCCGUCUGCCUACAAGCGGUCGGAGCGUCGUAAUGACGUGACGGCGUGCCUUUUGCAUAAUGAACCUACGAGUUACCUUCCCCGGCAAGGUUAAGUACCUAAGGUACGGAGCCGAAGCGAAAGCGAGUCUGAACAGGGCGCCAAGUCGGGGGGGGUAGACGCGAAACCGAGUGAUCUACCCUUGGCCAGGUUGAAGGUUGGGUAACACCAACUGGAGGACCGGAUGGGUAAGCGUUGAAAAGCUUUCCAAUGAGCUGAGGGUAGGGGUGAAAGGCUAAUCAAACUCGGAGAUAGCUCGUACUCCCCGAAAUGCAUUUAGGUGCAGCCUCUUUAUAGUAUAUCGUGAGGUAGAGCGACUGAUUGGAUGCGAGGGCUUCACCGCCUAUCAAGUCCAGAUAAACUCCGAAUGCGCGAUAUAUAUUUACAGGGAGUGAGGGCGCGGGUGCUAAGGUCCGUGUCCGAGAGGAGAAGAAUCCAGACCACCGGCUAAGGCCCCCAAAUGAUCGUUGAGUUGAACUAACGAGGUCGGAUCGCAGAGACAGCUAGGAUGUUGGCUUGGAAGCAGCCAUUCAUUUAAAGAGUGCGUAACAGCUCACUAGUCGAGCGAUCUGGCGUGGAUAAUAAUCGGGCAUAAACGAUCUGCCGAAGCCGUGGAUGUCGCAAGACAUGGUAGGGGAGCAUUCCAUGCCGCGUCGAAGAUGAGGGAUGACCCUUGUUGGAGCGCAUGGAAAAGCAAAUGUAGGUAUGAGUAACGAUAAGGGGGGCGAGAAACCCCCCCGCCGAAAGACCAAGGUUUCCUGAUCAACGCUAAUCGGAUCAGGGUGAGUCGGGACCUAAGGCAAAGCCGAACGGCGCCGCCGAUGGAAGAAUGGGUUAAUAUUCCCAUACUGCCUCAUGGAGUGACGUGGAGACGGAGAAGUGACAGUCCUGCCGGCUGACGGAAUAGCCGGUUGAAGGGUGUAGAUAUUGAUUCCCGUAGGCAAAUCCGCGGGGAGAGUCGAACCUGAGAGUAUACGGAGCGCUUGCGCAACGUAAUAUGGACGUAACCAUGCUCCCGAGAAAAUCCGCUAAACUUAUCCAUGCGGCACCCGUACCGUAAACGGACACACGUGGUCGGGUUGAGAAUACUGAGGCGCUCGAGUGACUCACGGUUAAGGAACUAGGCAAAUUGACCCUGUAACUUCGGGAUAAAGGGUCCUCGUCGUAAGGCGAGGCGCAGAGAAUAGGUCCAGGCAACUGUUUAACAAAAACACAUGGCUGUGCUAAAUGGAAACAUGAUGUAUACAGCCUGACACCUGCCCGGUGCCGGAAGGUUAAGAGGAGAUGUCAUCCGCGAGGAGAAGCGUUGAAUUGAAGCCCCGGUAAACGGCGGCCGUAACUAUAACGGUCCUAAGGUAGCGAAAUUCCUUGUCGGGUAAGUUC